GCUAAUACCGGAUAACAUCCUCUUCCGCAUGGUGGGGGGUUGAAAGUUCCGGCGGUGCAGGAUGGGCCCGCGGCCUAUCAGCUUGUUGGUGGGGUAGUGGCCUACCAAGGCGACGACGGGUAGCCGGCCUGAGAGGGCGACCGGCCACACUGGGACUGAGACACGGCCCAGACUCCUACGGGAGGCAGCAGUGGGGAAUAUUGCGCAAUGGGCGAAAGCCUGACGCAGCGACGCCGCGUGAGGGAUGACGGCCUUCGGGUUGUAAACCUCUUUCAGCAGGGAAGAAGCGAAAGUGACGGUACCUGCAGAAGAAGCACCGGCUAACUACGUG
rnacentral:rRNA from 1 species